rnacentral:rRNA from 1 species
AGUCUGGUGCCAGCAGCCGCGGUAAUACGGGGGAUGCAAGCGUUAUCCGGAUUUAUUGGGCGUAAAGCGCCUGUAGGUUGUUUAAUAAGUCUGUUGUUAAAGACUAGGGCUUAACCCUGGGAAAGCGAUGGAAACUGAUAAACUUGAGUAUGGCAGGGGUAGAGGGAAUUUCUAGUGUAGCGGUGAAAUGCGUAGAUAUUAGAAAGAACACCGGUGGCGAAAGCGCUCUACUGGACCAUUACUGACACUCAGAGGCGAAAGCUAGGGGAGCGAAAGGGAUUAGAUACCCCUGUAGUCCUAGCCGUAAACGAUGGAUACUAGAUGUUGUGUUUUUAUACAGUAUCGUAGCUAACGCGUUAAGUAUCCCGCCUGGGGAGUACGCUCGCAAGGGUGAAACUCAAAGGAAUUGACGGGGGCCCGCACAAGCGGUGGAGCAUGUGGUUUAAUUCGAUGCAACGCGAAGAACCUUACCAGGGCUUGACAUACUACAAAUCUUUUCGAAAUGAAAGAGUGCCUUCGGGAAUGUAGAUACAGGUGGUGCAUGGCCGUUCUUA